rnacentral:rRNA from 1 species
UGGGGAAUAUUGCACAAUGGGCGAAAGCCUGAUGCAGCAACGCCGCGUGAGUGAUGAAGGCCUUCGGGUUGUAAAGCUCUGUCUUCUGGGACGAUAAUGACGGUACCAGAGGAGGAAGCCACGGCUAACUACGUGCCAGCAGCCGCGGUAAUACGUAGGUGGCAAGCGUUGUCCGGAUUUACUGGGCGUAAAGGAUGCGUAGGCGGAUACUUAAGUCAGAUGUGAAAAUCCCGGGCUUAACUUGGGAACUGCAUUUGAAACUGGGUAUCUAGAGUGCGGGAGAGGAAAGUGGAAUUCCUAGUGUAGCGGUGAAAUGCGUAGAGAUUAGGAAGAACACCAGUGGCGAAGGCGACUUUCUGGACCGUAACUGACGCUGAGGCAUGAAAGCGUGGGGA